rfam:Oreochromis niloticus linkage group LG7, whole genome shotgun sequence.
UGGCUGUGUGUGUCUCUGGCAAGAUGAUUUGGUCCACAAAGUUGAAAUCACAUUGCCAGAGAUUACUGCACUGCU